rnacentral:rRNA from 1 species
CAGUAGCCACGGGAAUACGUAGGGUGCGAGCGUUAAUCGGAAAUACUGGGCGUAAAGCGUGCGUAGGCGGUUCGUUAAGUCUGUUGUGAAAGCCCCGGGCUCAACCUGGGAAUGGCAAUGGAUACUGGCGAGCUAGAGUGUGUCAGAGGAUGGUGGAAUUCCCGGUGUAGCGGUGAAAUGCGUAGAGAUCGGGAGGAACAUCAGUGGCGAAGGCGGCCAUCUGGGACAACACUGACGCUGAGGCACGAAAGCGUGGGGAACAAACAGGAUUAGAUACCCCUGUAGUCCCUGUCUCUUAUAA